CCUCCCUCCACCCGUCUCUCUACAGCUGGCAACGUGAAGCCGAUGAUCCUGAAGAACGUGCAGAUCAACAACAAAGCCCUGGCUCUGGCCCUGCAGGCAGAGAAGGAGAAGGUGACGCAGGCCAACGGUAUCAUCCUGCAGAUGAAGAGGGAACAGCAGGCUCUCUUCCUCCUCCUGCUCAAGAGGCUCAAAGACCAGGAGAUGCAGGCAAGCAAUGUACAGGUAUGAUGCUGCCUGAAUGGCUGACUCAAACUGAGGAACCAAGAAAGUUGUUCCCUUCCCCCUCUCAUGAUAUUUACGUGUGUGUUUAGACUGGACCUGCACAGCUCCCUGCUGAACCACCAAAGCCAGUGGACUCCUCCAGGUGAGCUAUUCAAAUAUAGUAUCAACUGAAUGCAUCUUAUUUCUGACUCGGAGUCAAAGAGCCACUGUUUGAUGUCCAGUUUGAUUCACCCCAUCUACUGUCAGCUUGUGAAUGUAAUCAAUUCCUCCCUGGAGUUUUUAACUUUUCACUUUUGGUAUUUUUGUGCAGGAGAAUUCAAAGUCGUGCUGCUCUGGAAGAUCUUGUAAUGGCCGAAGCCCCACCCUCACCCAUCAGCUCAGGUAUAUGAAAAUUACAUUUAUCAACCACAGUUCCCCUACAGAACCUCUCAUACCGGAAGAGACAGAGGUCCUAGUGGAAAGCCUGGUUCUAAACGACAGAAGAGGCCAGAACCCCAUACAGGAGUGAAGACCGAGAAAGGCAAUCCAAUUGGCUCAGAGGAGUUCCAGCAGCACUCCACCCCAGGGCCACCAGCUAAACCAGCCAAUCAGCAGCAGCAACCCCGGGCACAACCGAAACAGGCCCAGCCACCGCGGCCCAAACCCGAACUGGAGAGGGGCCACAAACCAGACCUCCAAAACGACUGUUGUCACGUGUUUUUUCAAUGUAGAGUUAUUAGCAGUGCUAUAUAGCAGAUUUGGCUGAUUUAGUGGUCUCAAACCAGUGAGCUAACCAACAUUCUUCAUCAACAAUAUGAGCAAUAUGGAGAUAUUGACAAUUAAAAAGUCAGAAGAGUAGAGCCCUGUCCUACAGCUGGGCCCGCUGAGGUCCCUGAGAUAGAACACCAAAUCCCAGAAGUCCCUGGGAGUGUCUUUGUUGACAGACAGUCCUGUUCCAAUGACAGAGCAAGGUCUUGAGGGUCACACAG
ensembl:lncRNA